rnacentral:rRNA from 1 species
UACAGAGGUCCCAAGCGUUGUUCGGAUUCACUGGGCGUAAAGGGUGCGUAGGUGGUGAGGUAAGUCGGAUGUGAAAUCUCCGAGCUCAACUCGGAAAAUGCAUUGGAAACUACCUUGCUAGAGGAUCGGAGGGGGGACGUGGAAUACUUGGUGUAGCAGUGAAAUGCGUAGAUAAUCAAGUGGAACACCAGUGGCGAAGGCGGAGUCCCUGGACGAUACC